GAUGAACGCUGGCGGCGUGCUUAACACAUGCAAGUCGAACGAUGAAGCCCAGCUUGCUGGGUGGAUUAGUGGCGAACGGGUGAGUAACACAUGAGUAACCUGCCCUUGACUCUGGGAUAAGCCUGGGAAACUGGGUCUAAUACUGGAUAUGACUUCUCAUCGCAUGGUGGGGGGUGGAAAGAUUUAUUGGUCUUGGAUGGACUCGCGGCCUAUCAGCUUGUUGGUGAGGUAAUGGCUCACCAAGGCGACGACGGGUAGCCGGCCUGAGAGGGUGACCGGCCACACUGGGACUGAGACACGGCCCAGACUCCUACGGGAGGCAGCAGUGGGGAAUAUUGCACAAUGGGCGCAAGCCUGAUGCAGCGACGCCGCGUGAGGGAUGACGGCCUUCGGGUUGUAAACCUCUUUCAGUAGGGAAGAAGCGAGAGUGACGGUACCUGCAGAAGAAGCGCCGGCUAACUACGUG
rnacentral:rRNA from 1 species